AUUUGAUUAUUAUGUUAAUAUUUUAAAUUUAUUUAUCUUAAUGUAUUAAAAUAUAAGUAACAACUAUAAUGGGUACUGUACUAAGGCCCUCUCUACACACGAAACUACUCAAAAGAAACUAAGCUGGUUUGAGAUUUAAAUAACUUACCAAUAACUAACACAUUGGUAACUGAGAUCCUUACGUGAGCCUACUGAAAAGUGAUCGAAAUCACUAGUUUAUUCUAUUGACCGUUUGGUAAUGGGAGUAGGAUCUGCAUCAGCAUUUUUCAACACCAUGGAUGAAGAAAUGAUGAUUGCAUAUUAUUAUUACCAUAACAAAAUAAUUAGAAGAUGAAGAAGAUUUUGGAUUCAUUCAUAUUAUAUUGAAACAAAAGAAAUGUUUAUUAAAGUUAUAUAGAAUGGGAUGUUUCUCUACCUCUUCUACCAACUUUACGUUAAUCAUUUGUUUGUUCAUCUUUUUAUUCUUCUUAAUAGAAGAAAAUUAGAAAAAAUAAAAUUUUAAAAAUUCACACAAUUCAAUGUAAGUUUGUGUUGCAACUUGGAAGUGAUUCGAUAGUAAUCACUUGGAACUGAUAUUUAAUACAUUAUUAACUAAAUAGUAACCAGUAACACCAUCUGUUGUGUUCCAUUGAAUAACAUACGUUGUGACACAAAGCGGACUGGUUAGUGAUUUGUGUCAGUUAUUAGUUACUAAUGAAUAGCUCCGUGUGUAGACAGCCUUACACAUUAUACAUUAGGUAGUUUAUGUAUUAUAAAAAUAUCAUAAUUAUUUUAAUUAUUUUUGUCGGUACUUUUUAACAUAGCUGUCAUAGACAUAAUAAUAUGUCUAUUAUUUUAUGGAAGAAUUCUUGAUCUAUACUCUAUUCUAUUAUAUGUCUAUGAUAACUGCACAUAAUUUACACAAUUA